CCUUGUAGCCCCUUCACACACUGGGAGCUGCUCCGAGCUCUCCAUGGGGUCUCCUCCCUUCCUGCUGUGUUGUUUAUGGGGUUUUCCUCUCUGCAAUGCAGUGGCUGAAAGCAGACGAGGUGGAAAAGGGCAGCAGUGGGACCCCCAUCCGGAUCGAGAACCCCAACCAGUUCGUGCCCCUCUACACGGACCCACAGGAGGUGCUGGAGAUGAGGAACAAGGUCCGGUCCUGGCCCCAAACCCUCCCCUGAGGCUUUGGGAUGUGGGUGCAGGGAUGCUCACAGACCCAUGGUGGGGGAACGGCUAUUUCCUGGUCCCUAAUCCGCCUCUCACCCAUAGAUCCGGGAGCAAAACCGCCAGGAUGUGAAGUCAGCUGGACCCCAAUCCCAGCUUCUGGCCAGUGUGAUCGCCGAGACCAGCCGUAGCCCUGUAUGCAUCCCUGCAUCCCGUCCCCGCAGCAUCCCGUCCCCGCAGCAUCCCAUUCCCACAGCAUCCCAUCCCCGCAUCAUCCCAUCCCUGCAUCCCAUCCCUCCUGGGGGGGUAACACUGCUCUGGGGCUGUUCCUUCAGUCCACAGAGAGCCAUUUGGGAGAUGCGGAAGCCAAAGAAGCAUCCCGGGAUGAGGCCCCCCCGGAGCCGGAGCCCCCGAACCCCUUCAGCCAACUGACGGACCAGGAGCUGGAGGAGUACAAGCAGGAGGUGGAGAGGAAAAAGCUGCAGGGUAGGAGGGGUAAAGGGGGGAGCCCUGAUCCUAAAUCCCAUUCCAUGGAGCUUGGAGCAGCUCAGUGUCUCUGUGGGCAGGAGAGAAGGCUGCUGUGGCCGAGGAGAGCCAGGCUCCUCCUGCAUCCCCAGCGCAGAUCCCGGCCCCGACGCCUGCGGAGCCCUCGGAGGGUGACAAGAAGGAGGAUGGGGACCAAGCUCCGGCUGUGGAGAAGGAGCCGCCAGCGGUGGUGAAUGGGAAGGAGGAGGAGCAAAGCACCGAGGAAAGCAAAGCCGGGGAGAGGACAACGUCCCCGGCCAACACCGACACGGAUGCCCCGAAGGAGAAGGAGACGGUGACCAGCAGCCCCGUGUCCCCCGAUGGGUCCCCUUCCAAAUCACCCUCGAAGAAGAAGAAGAAAUUCCGGACCCCGUCGUUCCUGAAAAAAGGCAAAAAGAAGGAAAAGAUUGAAUCCUGAGUGUCCUCCGAAGCCUCCGGCCCCGGAAUCCGCUCCGGAUGGAGGCACCAAAGACGCAGGGAUGGCUCCUGCGGCUGAGAGAGCCUGGAGAUGAGCUGUUUCCUUGGGUAUUCCCGGCACCAGGCACCUCGUCCCCUCGUCACCCGCUUAUUGGAGGCGGUCACUGAGCUUAGGAAAGAUUGUGGCCCCUGUUUGCUGCUUGGGGAUCCACCCGCUGCCGUGUCCCUUUUCCCUUCUCCUUCCUGGGUACCAGCCCCUUUCCCAGUCCCGGAUUGAGGGUUGGAUUUGGGGUGCUUGUUCCCCCUUUGUGGAAUGCAGGGCGCAGUUGGAUGCGCUCACUUUGAGGAAGGAAAGGGUGGGUUUCCUUGUUCUUUUCCUACCUUCUUGUCCCAAGCUCCACUGGAAUGGCUUCACCCCCUGGGCAGCAUCAGAUGCUGCUUUCCCAAGGGAACUGGAUCGGAAUGGGGAGGGGGGGAUUGCUAUUCCAGAAGGAAUCCUUUAUGGAUCGUAACCUCCCUCUCCUUGGGCUGGAGUUCCCUUCUCCUGGUGCCGCUGCCUCUGUGUGUGCGGGAUGAGGAAGCGCAGCCGGAUUUUCCCCAUCCCCAGACCUGCACCGGAGAAGGGAGAAGGAAAAGGAGCCUUUGGGAAGGGUCUGUGCUAUUAAAACUGAGCAAAACUUCACUAAGUGCUACUUCGGGAUGAAG
rnacentral:lncRNA from 14 species